GACUCUUGGCAACGGAUAUCUCAGCUUUUGCAUCGAUGAAGAAUGUAGCGAUAUGCGAUAUUUGGUGUGAAUUGCAGAAUUCCGUGAAUUAUCCAGUUUUUGAGCGCAAAUUGCGCGCGAAGCUAUUAGGCCAAGCAAACGUCUGCUUGGGCGUCA